GCCGGGGUGCCCGAGCGGUCUAAGGGGGUGGGCUCGAGACUUCCGGCAUCUCCCCGGGAGACCCACUGCCCCCUCUGGGGCACGCGGGUUCGAAUCCCGCCCCCGGCG
rnacentral:tRNA from 1 species